AUGCGCGGGUGGCUGAUCGUCCUGGCCACCCUGGCGGCGUCGGUGACCUACCAGGCGGGUCUGAACCCUCCCGGCAGGUUCUGGCAGGACGACAAGAAGCACACCGCCGGCAACCCCGUGCUGCACGACCGGGUGGUCAAGAGGUACCUGACCUUCUACUACUUCAACGCGACGGCGUUCGCCACGUCGCUGGUGAUCAUCAUCCUUCUCCUCAACGAGCGGUUCUACAAGUCGGAGGCCAAGGUCGCGGCGCUCACCCUCACCACCAUGGUCGACCUCAUGAGCCUGGUGGGCGCCUACAUCGCCGGGUCCACCCGCGACAUGCCUUCCUCUAUCUACAUCAUCGUCCUCACCUGCUUCCUCUUCGUCUGCGUCAUCUACAUCUCCAGGGUGCUGCCGAACCUGUGCUUCAUUGUGCUGUUCAUGGCGCCGCUGCUGUUCAAGGUGGCCAAGAAGGGGUGGCUGCCGGUGACGGAGCGCAUGAAGACCAGGGUGGAGAGGGCCAAGAAGCGGGAAGAGGAAGAGGAUAAAGCAGAAGAAAACACGGCCAAGAGGAGGAGGAACCGGUGCCGGUGCUGCGCGUGCGGCAGGGCCUUCAAGUACGACGAAGAUGAACAUGAUUACCAGCCAUCAGUUUAA
rnacentral:rRNA from 1 species